UACGGAGGGGGCUAGCGUUGUUCGGGAUUACUGGGCGUAAAGCGCACGUAGGCGGACUGGAAAGUCAGGGGUGAAAUCCCGGGGCUCAACCCCGGAACUGCCUUUGAAACUCCCGGUCUUGAGGUCGAGAGAGGUGAGUGGAAUUCCGAGUGUAGAGGUGAAAUUCGUAGAUAUUCGGAGGAACACCAGUGGCGAAGGCGGCUCACUGGCUCGAUACUGACGCUGAGGUGAGAAAGCGUGGGGAGCAAACAGG
rnacentral:rRNA from 1 species